UUUCAUUUAUAUUUAUUAUAGAAUUUUAUUUUUUAGUAAAAAAGCUAAAAUUUAAUUAAAAGACGAGAAGACCCUAUAAAUCUUUAUAAUUUUUUGUAAAAUAAUUUUUUUGGAUUUAUUUUGUUAUUAUAUAAAAAUUUAUUUUAUUGGGGUGAUAUUAAAAUUUAAAAAACUUUUAAUUAUAAUUUUACAUUAAUUUAUGAAUAAUUGAUCCAUUUUUAUUGAUUAACAAAUUAAGUUACUUUAGGGAUAACAGCGUAAUUUUUUUGGAGAGUUCUUAUCGAUAAAAAAGUUUGCGACCUCGAUGUUGGAUUAAGAAAUAUUUUUAAUGCAGAAGUUAAAAUAUAAAGUCUGUUCGACUUUUAAAUUCUUACAUGAUCUGAGUUCAAACCGGUGUAAGCCAGGUUGGUUUCUAUCUUUAAUAAGGUGUAAUAUUAUAGUACGAAAGGAAUUAAUAUUAUUAAAAAUUAUUUUAAAAUGAAU
rnacentral:rRNA from 1 species